rnacentral:rRNA from 1 species
AUUGAACGCUGGCGGCAGGCCUAACACAUGCAAGUCGAGCGGAUGAAGGGAGCUUGCUCCUGGAUUCAGCGGCGGACGGGUGAGUAUGGCUAGGAGUCUGCCUGGGAGGGGGGGGUAACGUUCGGGAACGGGCGGCUAUACCGCAAUAGGCCCUGGGGAGGAAGGGGGGGAAUCUUGGGACCCCCGGUUUCCGGAGAGGCCUAGGUCGGAUUAGCAAGUUGGUGGGGUAAAGGCCUACCAAGGCGACGAUCCGUAACUGGUCUGAGAGGAUGAUCAGUCACACUGGAACUGAGACACGGUCCAGACUCCUACGGGAGGCAGCAGUGGGGAAUAUUGGACAAUGGGCGAAAGCCUGAUCCAGCCAUGCCGCGUGUGUGAAGAAGGUCUUCGGAUUGUAAAGCACUUUAAGUUGGGAGGAAGGGCAGUAAGUUAAUACCUUGCUGUUUUGACGUUACCAACAGAAUAAGCACCGGCUAACUUCGUG